GGCCCUUCACCUGCUACAGCCUGGAUCUCAGCUAGCCUUAACCUGGGCCUACACCUUCUACAGCCUGGAUCUCCGCUGGCUUCAGCCGGGGUCUACAAUUGCUACAGCCUGGAUCUCAGCUACCUUCAGCCUGGCCCUACACCCACAACAGCCUGUCUCUCUGCUAGCUUCAGCCUGGGCCUACAAUUGCUACAGCCUGGAUCUCAGCUAGCUUCAGCCUGGGCCUACACCUACAACAGCCUGGAUCUCAGCUGUCUUCAGCCUGGGCCAACAUCUGAUACAGCCUGGAUCUCAGCUAGCUUUAGCCUGGGCCUACAUCCACCACAGCCUGGAUCUCAGCUAGCUUCAGCCUGAGCCUCCCACAGCCUGACCACAGCUAAUAUCAACCUGGGCCUACACCUACUACAGCCUGGAUCUCAACGGGCCUCAGCUUGGGCCUACAUCUACAGCCUACAGCCUGGAUAUCAGCUAAUAUCAACCUAAAAGAGUACCAAUACAUCACACCAAACGGCUACCCUCCUGUUCCACGGUUUAAAGAACCAUGUCUAUUGGGAGUGCAACCUCUUCAACAUCCAUGGCAUGAAGACCCCCUCUUUCCCAAAUGUUCCCCAUUAUAAUAAAAAUUCGAACCACAAGCAAGCUUCAACAUCUUCUGGACAACCAGUUUACAGAGUCAUGUUCCCCAAGACAAAGAAGGGUGAAGCCACCACAAAGCCUGUUAAGUCAGAACCCACAUUCAAUUAUGUUGGUGACUUGAUGAGGAUUGGUGUUUGAGGAUCCAGCACCAUUUGUGGAGGAGAUGAAAAAAAUCCCCAUACCCAAAGAUCUGUCAUCCUAAUAUGACAGGCCGUCAAAGGAGGAAGUGGUUGCUCGCCACAUGUCAGGCUUCAGUUAAGGGGCGGUUGGAAGCCAACAUACUGGUCAGCUGGAUCAGGAAACUCCUUGCAGAUCCCGAAGACGACACAUGAUGGGCUGACGACCCUGUUGUGGCGUCCCCCAGCACCAACCAUGUCCAAAGCACCUGGAAGUGAAAACAAUGAGGCAAUAUUGCAGUUGCAAAUUGUCUCUCUACUGAUAUAUUUAUGUUUAUGUGUUUAUUUCUGGUCUCGUUACAUUUACAACCA